AAGGGACCGCACCAAGCCUGGAGCCAGGUUUGAUGCUGGCUCCCAUGUUCCCUAAAAGUGAUAAAAUUACAGCAGCAGACAGAAGAUCAGAAACUCAAGAAGUAUGAGCCCUCCAUGAGACUUGGGGAAGCACACUGGCUUUGACAGCAGCCCAAGCCUGUAUUGAGUUCUGCUUCUCCUUAUUACUGAACCUCAGUUUCUUUGCUUGUAAGCAUUGGAAAUGUAAUUGAGGAAAAUACGUUAAAAAAAAAAAGAAAACAUAAAAAAAAAGAGUGUGAAAAUGUAACACAUAGCAUGAGAUCACCAUGAAGAUUGGAUGGGGUGACAUGUUAAAUAUUAAGAAGAGCGAGUGGCACAUAGCGUGCUCGAUUGUUACAGAUUUCUUAAUCAAAAAGACCUAGAUUUGGAUGACAGAGGAAGCACUAACAGCUGUAUCCUGGCUCCCCCAAGGUGCAGGUCAUUUAGAAAUUUCUUCCUUAACCCUCAGUUUUCUUCUCUAUUCAAUGGGGCCAUAAAUGACAGCAACUUCAGAGGGCUGAUUGUGUGGGUGGAUUGGAAGAUAAUCUACUAUUUGCUCAAAGAGCGUGCAUAGUUAACUGUGUGGAGGAAAGCAGUGGCUGUCACUCACAGUCUGUAUUUCACCAUUUGUCAGUCUAGGACGUUCUGUUUUGUCACAUGAGUUUACAAGCUAGAAGUCAUCUUUGUAAAGCACUGACCCCAAUGUCAAGUACUUAUGAGGUCCUUAGAAGACGGAUGCUAUUAUUUCUAGAUCCUUCCUGUUUUGUCUAAGUUCUAGCUCUGGAUGAACGGAUGAGGCAAUUUUGAUUUUCCAAGGUUUCUUUGACAGCCCAGAGUGGGGCAAGGAACAAGAGGGGCCCAUCCACUGGAAACCACAACCUGAAAAUGAACUUCCUUAAUCAGCGUGCUGCAGAAUUCCUACAGCUGCUUCUCCUUUGGAGUCAAUUGGAACCUGCUGGGCCCCCUGCUCUUUUUCUGAGAGGAGCAAAUGUCAUCCCACAGCCAAGAUUUAGAAAUUUGCCACACCGGAUCAGAAACAAAUCCAUCUGUGACGAGGUCAAGGUUCCCCCUAGGCCAAGGCCUUAGCUAUGGAGUCCCCAUAGCCUGCAGGGUGGCCUCCAGCCUGAGGUCAACACUGCCUGUGGGGCUACCAAUAAAUGCUGUCCUGUCCCUAGCUGGUAACCACCCACAUUUCCAUUUCAGAAGGUGAGUCACGUUCGGAUGUGGACAGUACAUUAAAUAACAAUUUUUAGGAUGUGAGUGUCAGGGUUGCACAGCAAGAAUGCAUUUGCUUUGGAAUGGGACCUCUCCCUACGUGCCCAGUCUUAUAAUCUCUUCCAUCUGUCCACAUUUCUGCUGAGCCCCAAUAGGUCCCCAGGGCCUCCCGAGUGGCGAGGCUGCCCUGGGCACCAGUUAGUAGGAGAGGUUCUUGCCAGUGCCCAGGGCUAGGAGAGAAAUCAGGUAGUUGAACAAGCAGCCUGUGAGAAGAGGCCUAACUUGGAAUUUACUAGUUGUGCAGCCACAGGUCGUUCCUUGUGUUCUCUGUUUUAUAUCUCACAUGGAGAAAGGUAAGGAGGCUUCAUGCUCCCUUAGAGCUCUCUGGUACUUGGAUCGUUCACAGAUGCUCAGUGAGUGAAAAAAAUAGCAGCUGCCAUUAAUGAAACACUUACUGGGCUCAGCUCUGUGGGAGGCACUAGUGUUUGCCACCCGCUGAACUGAAUGCAUCAAAGCAAGCAUCUCUGAUUGGUUUUGGAGAAGAAGGUAGAACGGUGGCAUUGGAGCACUUACGACUUGCCAGCUUUUCUCCUAUACAUCCUCUAGAAGGCAAAGCAGGCUUAAGGAAAGGAAGGAACCUGCCACAUUAAGUGUGGAGUCAAAGCAUCCUGCCCUGGUGUGAUGUUAGAAGGACCACGGGUCUGCUUCCCUUGGGUGCUGAGUCUCCUUGGGUGUUGCUCUUACACAGGAGGGCUCAGGCCAGCAGUACUCCUAAGCACUGCUAGGCUACAUAGACAGGAGAAGUGUGAAGGAUCAGUGUGAAGCGACAGAGUUCUGCCAGGGCACCGGUAGAAGGACAAGCUGGGCCCCACACCAUCCUGUUUCCUACAGUUGUGGUCCUGUUGAUUGUUAGAGUUGGUGGCUCCUCUGAGGAUGUCCUGGAGAAGAAGUCCCUGUCCAUUUUGUAAGCUGGGAGACGAUUGCCUUUGCCUGCUCUUGCUCACAGGAGGAAGCAGCAGCAGCCUUUACUGUUGUGAUAUUCGUCUAAGGACUAUGUGCUGUUAAGAGUAGAAGAGCAGAGAGCCUUAGGUCCUGCCUUCCACUCAGGAGCCUUUCGGUCACUGGCCAGAUGAGAUCUGGGUAGUGAUGCAUUUUUAGCUCUUUACCAAUACUUGUCAUAGUUUUGCUUUGACCCUGCACCUUUAAGUGGUAGCUCUGAAGGAUUUCCUGGAAUGCACUUGUGUCUAUAUUUCAGGGUCGGGGUUGGGGCGAGGGGCGGGGGCACACUACUUUUCUGAUUACUCUCACGAGUGCACAGUUGGCUAGCUUAAAAUGGCACACCUGGAGGUGAGUCUGCUGGUGACUUGUCUGUGUGGCUUAUUUCCUACUGGAGGCUCUGAGGAAAGGUUUGAUUCUUGCCUCUCUUUCAUCUUCCAUGGUUCCUGGAUCUUUGGCCUCAGCCUUCAAGUACUCACAGAGCAUCACUGUUAUCUAGCUCUGUCUUCCUAGUGCCUUCUUCACUGCCCAUCCAUAUAAGAACAUUUGACAUUGGAUUUAGACCCCACCAGGAUCCAGGACCAUCUCCUUUUGAGAUAUUUACCUCUAUCUUCCAAAAACCCUCUCCAGAUACAGUGACUCUCCAGAUACAGUGACUGUCACACAUUUCCUGCUGACAAGCCUUUUUGGCCCCAUUCAACUCGUCACAAGGGUCAAGAAUAACAGAACAAACAAGAUGUGACUAAUUGCACGUUGUAAGGAGUGAGCAAAAAAUGCUUACAAAGGUAUAGAGUGGCUUCAAAUCCUUACUACUUAAGAGUUCAAUAUGCAAUUAUUGACUGAAUAACUGAAGAAAGUGUGCCUCGCAUAGUGGUGCAUAGUGUGUUUUCUUCCUCUGGCUUAAAAUUUUUGUCUUCCUUCUCCAUUUCUUCCACCUUAUUUAUUCAGCGUGCUCUGAGGUCCUACUGUGUGCUGGGUUUUUAAUUCUAGAUAUGGAGGGCACUGUAGAGAGUAGGCAAAAAGUUUGAUUUUUCUAAUACGUUUGUGGUUUAACCUUUGUAAGUGUUACAUUGUUACAGUUAUGUGUCAAUUUGACUGAACUUCAGAGCUUUUUUUCUUUUUCUUUUUUGAGUGUUUCUAAGUUAGUAUUUCUAGAUGAGAGCCGUGGGUUAUUUGGCAGACUUAGUCAAGCAGCUUAUCCUCUCUAAUGUGGCUAACACUUCUCCAGUCAGUUGAAGAGAUGACCUGGACAGAAAAGGGAGGGAGGAAAAAAAAUUCUAGCUUUGAAUAGGAUGAUCAGCCUUUGGGGGCUUUGUUUGGUUUUUAUGUUCCCAUUCAUAGUGUAUCAAUGACACUUCCUGGGAUCUUGGGCCAGCCAGCCCUGGACUGGAACCACAAUAUCCACUCUUCUGUAUUUUGGAAUUCAGAUAUGGAUC
rnacentral:lncRNA from 1 species